GAUGAACGCUGGCGGCGUGCCUAACACAUGCAAGUCGAACGGAGUCGUUUUGGAAAUCUCUUCGGAGAUGGAAUUCUCGACUUAGUGGCGGACGGGUGAGUAACGCGUGAGCAAUCUGCCUUUAAGAGGGGGAUAACAGUCGGAAACGGCUGCUAAUACCGCAUAAAGCAUUAAAUUCGCAUGUUUUUGAUGCCAAAGGAGCAAUCCGCUUUUAGAUGAGCUCGCGUCUGAUUAGCUAGUUGGCGGGGUAACGGCCCACCAAGGCGACGAUCAGUAGCCGGACUGAGAGGUUGAACGGCCACAUUGGGACUGAGACACGGCCCAGACUCCUACGGGAGGCAGCAGUGGGGAAUAUUGCGCAAUGGGGGAAACCCUGACGCAGCAACGCCGCGUGAUUGAAGAAGGCCUUCGGGUUGUAAAGAUCUUUAAUCAGGAACGAAACAAAUGACGGUACCUGAAGAAUAAGCUCCGGCUAACUACGU
rnacentral:rRNA from 1 species